rnacentral:rRNA from 1 species
AAUUCGAAGCAACGCGAAGACUUACCAGGCCUUGACAUGCAGAGAACUUUCCAGAGAUGGAUUGGUGCCUUCGGGAACUCUGACACAGGUGCUGCAUGGCUGUCGUCAGCUCGUGUCGUGAGAUGUUGGGUUAAGUCCGUAACGAGCGCAACCCUUGUCCUUAGUUACCAGCACGUUAUGGUGGGCACUCUAAGGAGACUGCCGGUGACAACCGGAGGAAGGUGGGGAUGACGUCAAGUCAUCAUGGCCUUACGGCCUGGGCUACACACGUGCUACAAUGGUCGGUACAAAGGGUUGCCAAGCCGCGAGGUGGAGCUAAUCCCAUAAAACCGAUCGUAGUCCGGAUCGCAGUCUGCAACUCGACUGCGUGAAGUCGGAAUCGCUAGUAAUCGUGAAUCAGAAUGUCACGGUGAAUACGUUCCCGGGCCUU